UACGUAGGGUGCAAGCGUUGUCCGGAAUUAUUGGGCGUAAAGAGCUCGUAGGCGGUUUGUCGCGUCUGCUGUGAAAACUCAGGGCUUAACCCUGAGCCUGCAGUGGGUACGGGCAGACUAGAGUGUGGUAGGGGAGAUCGGAAUUCCUGGUGUAGCGGUGGAAUGCGCAGAUAUCAGGAGGAACACCGGUGGCGAAGGCGGAUCUCUGGGCCAUAACUGACGCUGGAGGAGCGAAAGCAUGGGGAGCGAACAGG
rnacentral:rRNA from 1 species